CAAGGCUGACUUCACAAAUCAGAUCAGUUGGGUAACGAAAAAUUGACCUGAUGGAGAAAUACGAAGGAACGUGAUGAUGAUGAUGAUGAUGAUGACGACUAGGAGGACGAGGAGGACGUGGAGGAGGAGGAAGAGGAGGCAGUCGAAACACGAGGAGAGGAAGGGAAUUGAAAAUGAAGCUAAACGAUGCCAAAUAGCUCAAGGAAGUCCCGGAAACUGACCAGAUUCUCUAGGUUUCUCUUUUCCAAAAUGUAAUCAAGCCAAUCUGCUCAGUGUCUGUCUCAGACAAGACAAGCUACAAAGACAAUGGAAACCAGGUCAGCUAGGUCCCUGUUUGGAGCAGGAAACAUAAUUCUUCCUGGAAGAAAUUUAGAUGAACUGAGACUUAAAAGAGACACUCUUCCACCAGUUGAGCUGCUGUCAGGCUGUGCAGUGUGCUCCAACUUCCCUGCUUCAGUGAGCUUGUAAGCCAUGCUGGGAUGGGCUGGGAUGAUGCAUCUCUCUGUGAGUCAUUUCUUUUCCUGUGAGUCAACUCCCAGCUCACAUUCCUGUUUGUACAGGGAAUACAAUUCAUUGCAUCACCAAGCUGGACUGUGUGGUAUCCAUACUAUUUUGCUAUCUGUAGUGGGUAGAUUUAUGUGUUGCAUAUGCCCAGGAAAGGUUUUGAAGGGACUCACACAAGUGAGGGAUAGAGAAUGCUCACUACACAGCCCAGAAUUAAGCUGAGACCACAAAUCCAGACCCAAACACCCAUUUUUUCACAGAUGCUUUAAAGUGGCUGAUUUCUGACUCAGGAACAGCAGCAAAUGACCCAGUAGCUCUGAUUUUCAACAGCAACUGGUGUUAGGAUGGGCUAGGAUACAGCUGGCUUGUUGUUAUUGAGCAUGGCAAAUAGGUGAGUCUAAAGGGGCUUUUUGAUUCCUGACAUUCAACACAUUGAAAACUGGACCUUGGUAGUAGCCUGAGAAAGAAGACCUAGCCAAAUAAGGGAAUGGACUUUGGAACUGAAGUGCACAGGUGGCUUGCUUCUGCACUCUCCCCCAGAACCCCCCCCCUAGGCUCUCUCCCACAGCAAGAAAGGUGGGGCAUGCAGGUGGCAUUUUCCCUCAGAAGCAUGGGUGGCUCGCUUCUGCACUCUCCCCUUCCCCCCACCCUAAGCUCUCUCCUACAGCAACUGCACUGUGGCGCACAGGUGGCUUGCUUCUGUGGCUUAUCUCUGCGUUCUUCCUCAAAAGUUCCCUCAGAACCCCCAACCCCUGUUUCCUGCCCCCUAUCCAGCAAAUGUGGGGAUUCUUUUUCCCCUCCUGGCUGCUCUGAGAGGACUCAAAAAGCCACGAGUUUGAGCUUGAGUGAGACAAAUGACAAAACUCCCCAGCUUCAGUGGUGCCAAGACUAGAAAAUUCCCAGAUGACCAGGUGCAGUUGGUGCCUGUCUUUGGAAAAAGGAGAUUAGGGGUCCCAUGCUUAAAUUACAGAAAAGUGGUGAUCAGAAGACAAAGUCAUUGCUGCCCAUAAAACUAGUUCCUGAUAGCACCACAAAGAUAAUCUUUAGGUUGGAAGAACCCCUCUCUCAGCCUCAAGAUUCUGCCCUACAAAUGGUAUUAAGUGGGAAUUAUGACUUACCUCACCUGCCUUGCCUCCCCUUCACACUAAGCAUUCACAGAAUUUCUAACUAUGCUGUAUAUAAGUGCCAAGACACCCAAGCUCAAAGUCACACUCCUGACCUAUGUUGUGGGAAGCUUUCUGGUCCAGGUAGAGACUCGUAAUAAAGGACUUUUAUGCAGAAUUGCAGCAGACUCUACCGUUCUUGACCUGUCCUGGGUUUCCUGCAGAGUCAGGGCAUAACUGCCUCUAGCUUUAAGAAUGUACUAUAAGGUUUUUGACAAGGAAGGAGAAAUGGGCAUAAGGGCACGGGCAGUCAGAUGUUUGUUAUGCUGGGCCUGUCAUUCUAGAGCACCCUCAGGUUUUGUCACACUGCAGGAGGUUGGUUGGGGAAGAAAAAGAGGGCAUUUGUGGUAGAUGUUGGUAGAAGUUGGUAGAAGGGGUGACGAAUAUGUUUGAAACAUAGCAUAUAAACUUUUUAAAGAAUUAAUCAAAAUAUUGUCUUUAAAAAGAGCACAGAUCAAUGAAUGCUGGCAAGAAGGUAGACAGCAGGUCUUAGACACCAUGAAUGGGAAUGUAAGCUGCUCUAGUGACUGUGCAAGUCAGGACGCAGCUGUCUCCAAACACAUUGAAUCCAGAUGUUCCCUAUGACCCAGCUCUACUCCUCCAGGGCAUUCAGACAAAGGACCCCAACAUUCCACUGAGGUGGGUAUGCCAUGCCAUUGUUCACUACCACUAAGUAUGACAUCCAAUAAUUAAAACCAGACACCCAUCUACAGAGGUGUGGACAAGUGAAAUACAGUACAGGAUGGGAGUAGGAGCAAGUCAUUGUGUGGAAAAUGGAUGCAACUGUGAAAGAUCACAGUAAGUAAAUCAAGCCAGUUACAGUCCUAGAUUCUAUAUCAAUACAUUGAAUCACUAUACAUACACAGAAUUGAAAACCAUGUUUUCCAUAGAGGCAUAAAUGAUUAACAACAGCGAGAAAUACUGAGUAUCUGGGAUAGAGCCACGGUUCUAGUCUACUCACUGAAGGAGCAUAUGGCAAGCUACAGGAGGUGCUUGAUUGCAGCUGCUUUUUAAACAUUGUCAAUCACUGUAAUUCUAAUGCUACUUCAAUGGCCUCUUCGUGUAUUUAACCCUGAAGUCUUGUAGAGCAGACUCACACUUAGCAUUCCACAGUGUCUCAGGAGCAUCCAGGACCUUGAAGGCAGCCUGGGCCU
rnacentral:lncRNA from 1 species